rnacentral:misc_RNA from 1 species
UCCGGUUUGUCACCGGCAGUCUCAUUAGAGUGCCCAACUAAAUGUAGCAACUAAUGACAAGGGUUGCGCUCGUUGCGGGACUUAACCCAACACCUCACGACACGAGCUGACGACAGUCAUGCAGCACCUUCUCACCAGUUCUCUUGCGAGCACCCCUCCAUCUCUGGAAGGUUCCGGCGGAUUUAACCCAGGUAAGGUUCUGCGCGUUGCGUCGAAUUGAACCACAUGCUCCACCGCUUGUGCGGGCCCCCGUCAAUUCCUUUGAGUUUCAAUCUUGCGAUCGUACUUCCCAGGUGGGAUACUUAAUGCUUUCGCUCAGACACACACAGUUUAUCGCGUAUGUCGAGUAUCCAUAGUUUAGGGCGUGGACUAC